GAUGAACGCUGGCGGCGUGCCUAAUACAUGCAAGUCGAGCGAACAGACGAGGAGCUUGCUCCUCUGACGUUAGCGGCGGACGGGUGAGUAACACGUGGAUAACCUACCUAUAAGACUGGGAUAACUUCGGGAAACCGGAGCUAAUACCGGAUAAUAUAUUGAACCGCAUGGUUCAAUAGUGAAAGACGGUUUUGCUGUCACUUAUAGAUGGAUCCGCGCCGCAUUAGCUAGUUGGUAAGGUAACGGCUUACCAAGGCAACGAUGCGUAGCCGACCUGAGAGGGUGAUCGGCCACCCUGGAACUGAGACACGGUCCAGACUACUACGGGAGGCAGCAGUAGGGAAUCUUCCGCAAUGGGCGAAAGCCUGACGGAGCAACGCCGCGUGAGUGAUGAAGGUCUUCGGAUCGUAAAACUCUGUUAUUAGGGAAGAACAAAUGUGUAAGUAACUAUGCACGUCUUGACGGUACCUAAUCAGAAAGCCACGGCUAACUACGUG
rnacentral:rRNA from 1 species